AGUUGUAGAAUCACUGGUGAAUAAGGGGUGGGCAAGUUCUGGUGUCAGCCGCCGCGGUAAAACCAGCACCUCGAGUGGUCAGGAGGUUUAUUGGGCCUAAAGCAUCCGUAGCCGGUUGCAUAAGUUUUCGGUUAAAUCUAUGCGCUUAACGUAUAGGCCGCCGAAAAUACUGUGCAGCUAGGGAGUGGGAGAGGUACACGGUACUCGAUAGGAAGGGGUAAAAUCCUUUGAUCUAUUGAUGACCACCUGGGGCGAAGGCGGUGUACCAGAACACGUUCGACGGUGAGGGAUGAAAGCUGGGGGAGCAAACCGGAUUAGAUACCCGGGUAGUCCCAGCUGUAAACGAUGCAGACUCGGUGAUGCAUUGGCUUGUGGCCAAUGCAGUGCCGCAGGGAAGCCGUUAAGUCUGCCGCCUGGGAAGUACGUACGCAAGUAUGAAACUUAAAGGAAUUGGCGGGGGAGCACCACAAGGGGUGAAGCCUGCGGUUCAAUUGGAGUCAACGCCAGAAAUCUUACCUGGGGAGACAGCAGAAUGAAGGUCAAGCUGAAGACUUUACCAGACACGCUGAGAGGUGGUGCAUGGCCGUCGCCAGCUCGUGCCGUGAGAUGUCCUGUUAAGUCAGGUAACGAGCGAGACCCCUGCGUCUAGUUGCUACCAUUACUCUCUGGAGCAGUGGAGCGAAUUAGACGGACCGCCACAGUUAAUGUGGAGGAAGGAAGGGGCCACGGCAGGUCAGUAUGCCCCGAAACCCUAGGGCUACACGCGGGCUGCAAUGGUAUUGACAAUGUGUUCCGAAUCCGAAAGGAGGAGGCAAUCAUCAAACAUAUCUCAGUUAUGACUGAGGGC
rnacentral:rRNA from 1 species